UACGUAGGUGGCAAGCGUUGUCCGGAAUUAUUGGGCGUAAAGCGCGCGCAGGCGGUCCUUUAAGUCUGAUGUGAAAGCCCACGGCUCAACCGUGGAGGGUCAUUGGAAACUGGGGGACUUGAGUACAGAAGAGGAAAGCGGAAUUCCACGUGUAGCGGUGAAAUGCGUAGAGAUGUGGAGGAACACCAGUGGCGAAGGCGGCUUUCUGGUCUGUAACUGACGCUGAGGCGCGAAAAGCGUGGGGGAGCAAACAGG
rnacentral:rRNA from 1 species